rnacentral:rRNA from 1 species
CUACGGGAUGCUGCAGUUAGGAAUAAUCUACAAUGCGCGCAAGCGUGAUAGUUUGAGUCAGAGUGCUUUUCAUAUGAAAAGCUUUUGUGGAAUGUAAAAAGUUCCGCGAAUAAGGACUGGGUAAGACUAGUGCCAGCCGCCGCGGUAAUACUAGCGGUCCAAGUCGCAGCCAUUUUUAUUGGGUCUAAAACAUCCGUAGCUUGCUUGAUAAGUUUCUUGUGAAAUUUUAUAUCUUAAAUAUGAAGCGUGCAAGAAGUACUGUCAAGUUAGAGACUGGGAGACGGAAGAAGUACGUUUGGAGUAGCGGUAAAAUGUUUUAAUCUCAAACGGACUCACAAUAGCGAGGGCAUCUUUCGAGAACAGUUCUGACAGUAAGGGAUGAAGGCUAGGGGCGCAAAACGGAUUAGAUACCCGGGUAGUC